ensembl:lncRNA
AGACAUGUGAAACCAAGAGGCCGUUUGAAGCCUACAGCUCACCCCGCCUACACGUGUCUGUGCUAAAGGAGAAAUCUUGAAGCAUCUGGAUAAAAUCCAGUCCAGGAUGUUGCUAUGAGGCACUGUACCUCUGCCUGCCUAUUAGUCUCAACUACAGUUCACUGAAGAAGUAGGUUAAAGUGUCGGAGAACACCGGUGAUGAUGGUGCAACAAAAUCUUUCACAUAUAAAAAUUAGAGCUUUAACAGCUUAGGUCUCCAGGUGGAGAAAUACUUCAUUUUGUUGAAAUGAUAUUCCAACAGGCCGAGGCAAGUUAUACAUGAUGUCGAAGAGCAUCACACUAACCAGCAGCUGGAGAAUGAACAAGCUUGCAGUUUAUGUGAUCAAUUAGCUUCUCUGCAACAAAAGCUGUUGAUACUUUUAUACGCAGCUUUUUAAAGAAAACACAUUGUCCACACUAUUGGCAGUGUUUAUAGAAAGUGUGAUAAAUAGUUCCAAGCACUAACAAUAUUGCACUACUUCUUAAAAUAUAACCACAGACACAACAGCAUGACAGAAGCUGAUACUUCUCAUUCACAUUAAUGUAUAUGAAAACUCUGUGGAGUUUAAUGUGUGUUAACAUACUGGAUGGAGUUUUCUUCAUUAUUGAUAUAGUAAAAGAACAUGUAAGAAGGAGUAUUCAAAGGCUGAGGAAUCAUACCUCUAAAUGUAAACCCUUUGAUCUAAGUAGAAUAAGUGCAUCUUCAUCACUCUUCAGACUCCACUCACUAAAACCUCUGUUUGGCAUCAAAACUGAAGCCUGACUGGUCAAAUCAUGCAUUCAUUAAUAUCAACACUCAGCUCAGUUUAAACUGUUUUUGUGCUCCAGGUAACAAACUUAAGCAUCACGUGUUUAAUGUUUAACCUGAAAACAAUGGGUGUGUAAUUUUUAGGUAUUCCUAAGCUUCUACCAGGCGACACUUGACACCUCUGUAAACACAGAAGCUUUAAAAUCAAGGAGUCCUAUCUUUGUUUAAUUGUUUGCACACCAGGCAACCCAUCAGAUAAAGUAGAGCACGACUUGAGUUGAAACGACCUCACACUUCAUAUUUGCAUGUAUUUGAUCCAAGAGAAGCCACAGAACAGGUUAUGUAAUGCUUAUGAAGUACAGCUUUCCUCCCAGCCAGGGUUGUGUUUCACUAUUGUCAAGCAGAUAAAGGUAGCUUACAGUCAGUGGUAUUAAUGAGCACACUGUUGAAAUCAUGUUUAAAUAAACUUUAUAUGUGCAUAUGUUUUCUAGAGAAAUGAAA